rnacentral:rRNA from 1 species
GGCUCAGAUUGAACGCUGGCGGCAGGCCUAACACAUGCAAGUCGAGCGGCAGCACGGGUACUUGUACCUGGUGGCGAGCGGCGGACGGGUGAGUAAUGCCUAGGAAUCUGCCUGGUAGUGGGGGAUAACGCUCGGAAACGGACGCUAAUACCGCAUACGUCCUACGGGAGAAAGCAGGGGACCUUCGGGCCUUGCGCUAUCAGAUGAGCCUAGGUCGGAUUAGCUAGUUGGUGAGGUAAUGGCUCACCAAGGCGACGAUCCGUAACUGGUCUGAGAGGAUGAUCAGUCACACUGGAACUGAGACACGGUCCAGACUCCUACGGGAGGCAGCAGUGGGGAAUAUUGGACAAUGGGCGAAAGCCUGAUCCAGCCAUGCCGCGUGUGUGAAGAAGGUCUUCGGAUUGUAAAGCACUUUAAGUUGGGAGGAAGGGCAGUUACCUAAUACGUAUCUGUUU